rnacentral:rRNA from 1 species
GGGUUGUGAGGUUAAGCGACUAAGCGUACACGGUGGAUGCCCUGGCAGUCAGAGGCGAUGAAGGGCGUGCUAAUCUGCGAUAAGCGCCGGUAAGGUGAUAUGAACCGUUAUAACCGGCGAUACCCGAAUGGGGAAACCCAGUGUGACUCUUCACACUAUCAUUAACUGAAUCCAUAGGUUAAUGAGGCGAACCGGGGGAACUGAAACAUCUAAGUACCCCGAGGAAAAGAAAUCAACCGAGAUUCCCCCAGUAGCGGCGAGCGAACGGGGAGGAGCCCAGAGCCUGAAUCAGCAUGUGUGUUAGUGGAAGCGUCUGGAAAGGCGCGCGAUACAGGGUGACAGCCCCGUACACAAAAGCGCAUGUGCUGUGAGCUCGAUGAGUAGGGCGGGACACGUGGUAUCCUGUCUGAAUAUGGGGGGACCAUCCUCCAAGGCUAAAUACUCCUGACUGACCGAUAGUGAACCAGUACCGUGAGGGAAAGGCGAAAAGAACCCCGGCGAGGGGAGUGAAAAAGAACCUGAAACCGUGUACGUACAAGCAGUGGGAGCCCCACCACCAAAGCAUUCUCUGGUGUUGAAGGCCCUGCAAAGCAGCAUCGCGGUGGCGGAGCGUCGUUUGCGACGCCCAACACACAAAACAAGCGGUGAGUGCUUUGGGGUGGGGUGACUGCGUACCUUUUGUAUAAUGGGUCAGCGACUUAUAUUCUGUAGCAAGGUUAACCGAAUAGGGGAGCCGGAGGGAAACCGAGUCUUAAUUGGGCGUUAAGUUGCAGGGUAUAGACCCGAAACCCGGUGAUCUAGCCAUGGGCAGGUUGAAGGUUGGGUAACACUAACUGGAGGACCGAACCGACUAAUGUUGAAAAAUUAGCGGAUGACCUGUGGCUGGGGGUGAAAGGCCAAUCAAACCGGGAGAUAGCUGGUUCUCCCCGAAAGCUAUUUAGGUAGCGCCUCGUGAACUCAUCUCCGGGGGUAGAGCACUGUUUCGGCUAGGGGGCCAUCCCGGCUUACCAACCCGAUGCAAACUGCGAAUACCGGAGAAUGUUAUCACGGGAGACACACGGCGGGUGCUAACGUCCGUCGUGAAGAGGGAAACAACCCAGACCGCCAGCUAAGGUCCCAAAGUCAUGGUUAAGUGGGAAACGAUGUGGGAAGGCCCAGACAGCCAGGAUGUUGGCUUAGAAGCAGCCAUCAUUUAAAGAAAGCGUAAUAGCUCACUGGUCGAGUCGGCCUGCGCGGAAGAUGUAACGGGGCUAAACCAUGCACCGAAGCUGCGGCAGCGAACGUAUCACCCAAGACAACUUUGCGGAGUUGACGAUUGACGGAGCGAAGCGACGUCAAAGCGUUCAUUAAAGUCGAGUUGGCUUAGGGAUACGUUCGUUGGGUAGGGGAGCGUUCUGUAAGCCAGUGAAGGUGUGUCGUGAGGCAUGCUGGAGGUAUCAGAAGUGCGAAUGCUGACAUAAGUAACGAUAAAGCGGGUGAAAAGCCCGCUCGCCGGAAGACCAAGGGUUCCUGUCCAACGUUAAUCGGGGCAGGGUGAGUCGACCCCUAAGGCGAGGCCGAAAGGCGUAGUCGAUGGGAAACGGGUUAAUAUUCCCGUACUUGGUGUUACUGCGAAGGGGGGACGGAGAAGGCUAUGUUGGCCGGGCGACGGUUGUCCCGGUUUAAGC